CUAUAUGUACCCUGUAGACUCGAAUUUGUGUGAGCGUUGCCCAGUCACAAAUUCGUCUCUAGGGGAAUAUAUGGG
rnacentral:pre_miRNA from 1 species